AUUCAAGGCUAUGGAAAUUUCAAUUAAUUUUCUAUAUUGAAGUGAAUGUUUUAUGCAUUUGUUACUAAAAUUUUCAGUUCUUAUGGCGGUUAGACAAGAUUGUAUGUGCUAUUUUGUUUCUGGAUCUUUCUUUGAGAAUUAAUCCAACACUUUUAUUCUAUCAAAGAUUCUAGAUUCCAUGUAGAAGAUUCUGUCAUGUGAUUCAACUUGUAAAGAAGCUGACACAAUAACACCUACAUGCAAAAUAAAUGUAUGAAGUGAAUCACGCUCAUUGCUGCCGAAAAUAGUUAUUCAAGUUUUCACAAAAUUUUCUGUCAGUAAAUUAUUUACAAACGGGCUCUCUUAAUAGCUUGGUAUGAAACCAAUCUUGGUUUUUUUGAUCACCAUGUUAAUCGCGGAUGCUUUCUGUCAACAGUUGGAAGCUUAUAUGGCCAUAAAAGGUAUACAUAAAUUCUCACGCAUCAAAAAGAAGCUUAAAGAUAAGAAAUUUGUAUUGUACGGAUUAGGAGCUGCUGUUAGUUCCGUCAAAGGUGCCGUUGCCGGCGUUGUGAGCAAACCGCUGAAGCUCAUUGGAGUUGUCCUAGGCCCACUGGGCACUCCUUUCAAAGUAGCAGGAAAAGCACUAAAGGCCAAAUCUGUUGCAGAAAAAGCGAAAUCUCUAGCCUUAACAGUGAAAAAAUUAUCUAGAGAUUCUGUCCGUUACGGAUAAAAUAUUGCUUCAUGCAUCUGCCAAGAGAAUCUCAAGAUGUCAUUACCAAGUUUGUUACUCACUUUUUUUUGCCGACAAUUUGUUUGAAAUCUAGUCUGGUAAAUUCGACUCUAAACAUUCAUGACUCUGAGCUUCGUAUAAAAUUUUCAAAUUUAAGUUCUGCAAAUAUUAAUUUUCAAAAGAUACAAUCCUGAAAACUUGAAUAGAGUUAUGGUUUUCUAUUUUUGUUUCUACCAAUUUUUAUAAUGUUCCAAAUGAAAUUUUAAUGUUGUACUAGCUGUUUUUAUAAUAAAACAUUAUUUA